rnacentral:rRNA from 1 species
AACGAACGCUGGCGGCAGGCUUAAUACAUGCAAGUCGAACGGGCGCGAGCAAUCGCGUCAGUGGCAGACGGGUGAGUAACACGUGGGAACCUUCCUCGUUGUACGGAACAACUCAGGGAAACUUGAGCUAAUACCGUAUAAGUCCGAGAGGAGAAAGAUUUAUCGCAAUGAGACGGGCCCGCGUCGGAUUAGGUAGUUGGUGAGGUAACGGCUCACCAAGCCAACGAUCCGUAGCUGAUCUGAGAGGAUGAUCAGCCACACUGGGACUGAGACACGGCCCAGACUCCUACGGGAGGCAGCAGUAGGGAAUCUUGGACAAUGGGCGCAAGCCUGAUCCAGCCAUGCCGCGUGAGUGAAGAAGGCCUU